UGGGGAAUAUUGCACAAUGGGCGGAAGCCUGAUGCAGCGACGCCGCGUGGGGGAUGAAGGCCUUCGGGUUGUAAACUCCUUUCGACAGGGACGAAGCUUUUGUGACGGUACCUGUAUAAGAAGCACCGGCUAACUACGUGCCAGCAGCCACGGUAAUACGUAGGGUGCGAGCGUUGUCCGGAAUUACUGGGCGUAAAGAGCUCGUAGGUGGUUUGUCGCGUCGUCUGUGAAAUUCCGGGGCUUAACUCCGGGCGUGCAGGCGAUACGGGCUGACUUGAGUGCUGUAGGGGAGACUGGAAUUCCUGGUGUAGCGGUGAAAUGCGCAGAUAUCAGGAGGAACACCGAUGGCGAAGGCAGGUCUCUGGGCAGUAACUGACGCUGAGGAGCGAAAGCAUGGGUAGCGAACAGGAUUAGAUACCCUGGUAGUCCAUGCCGUAAACGGUGGGCGCUAGGUGUAGGGGGCUUCCACGUCUUCUGUGCCGUAGCUAACGCAUUAAGCGCCCCGCCUGGGGAGUACGGCCGCAAGGCU
rnacentral:rRNA from 1 species